rnacentral:sRNA from 1 species
ACAGUGGACUACAUGAUAAAGCAGCGGGAAGAUUUUGAACCCUUUGUAGAAGAUGACAUUCCUUUUGAGAAGCAUGUGGCCAGUUUGGCAAAGCCUGGUACUUUUGCUGGCAAUGAUGCAAUUGUAGCCUUUGCAAGAAAUCAUCAGUUGAAUGUAGUGAUUCAUCAACUUAAUGCCCCUUUGUGGCAGAUUCGUGGUACAGAUAAAAGCAGCGUGAGGGAGUUACACAUCGCAUAUCGGUAUGGAGAGCACUACGACAGUGUUCGGAGGAUCAAUGACAACUCAGAGGCACCUGCACAUCUCCAGACGGAUGUGAGUGAGGCCUCGGUUUUCUCCCGUAUUCCCAGCCCUACAGGAAACAGGUCGAGAGCUGUAUAUCUGGCGCUAAAAACCAGUAAUGUUUUUGUGGAAAGUUGGCAUUAAGAAUCUGUGGGCCUGAUUUUAAAAAUAUUUUUUAUUUCUUAG